rnacentral:rRNA from 1 species
ACGAACGCUGGCGGCGUGCUUAACACAUGCAAGUCGAACGGAAAGGCCCUGCUUUUGUGGGGUGCUCGAGUGGCGAACGGGUGAGUAACACGUGAGUAACCUGCCCUUGACUUUGGGAUAACUUCAGGAAACUGGGGCUAAUACCGGAUAGGAGCUCCUGCUGCAUGGUGGGGGUUGGAAAGUUUCGGCGGUUGGGGAUGGACUCGCGGCUUAUCAGCUUGUUGGUGGGGUAGUGGCUUACCAAGGCUUUGACGGGUAGCCGGCCUGAGAGGGUGACCGGCAACAUUGGGAAGGAGAGCGGCCCCGGUCCCAACCGGGGGGCGAAAGGGGGAAAUGUGGAAAAAGGGGGGGAGGCCGGAGCCGGAACCGCGGGGGGGGGGAGAGCGGCUUGGGGUUGGAAACCCGCUUUCGCCGGGGAAGAGGGGGGGGGGAGGGAAAGGGAUAAAAAACCCCCGGCAAACACCGCC